rnacentral:rRNA from 1 species
CCACCGGUGGACUACUAAACUCUUGUUAAUUUUUGUCAAAUCUGAAUCAAAACUAAGAAAUAAGUUAAAACUUUCAACAACGGAUCUCUUGGUUCUGGCAUCGAUGAAGAACGCAGCGAAAUGCGAUAAGUAAUGUGAAUUGCAGAAUUCAGUGAAUCAUCGAAUCUUUGAACGCACAUUGCGCCCAUUAGUAUUCUAGUGGGCAUGCCUGUUCGAGCGUCAUUUCAACCCUUAAGCCUAGCUUAGUGUUGGGAGACUGCCUAAUACGCAGCUCCUCAAAACCAGUGGCGGAGUCUGUUCGUGCUCUGAGCGUAGUAAUUUUUUAUCUCGCUUCUGCAAGCCGGCCAGACGACAGCCAUAAACCGCACCCUCUCGGGGGGCACUUUUUUAAUGGUUGACCUCGGAUCAGGUAGGAAUACCCGCUGAACUUAAGCAUAUC